UGAGGAAUAUUGGUCAAUGGGCGGGAGCCUGAACCAGCCAAGCCGCGUGAGGGAGGAAGGCCCUAUGGGUCGUAAACCUCUUUUGUCAGGGAACAAAAGCGAGUAUGUAUACUAGUCUGAGUGUACCUGAAGAAAAAGCAUCGGCUAACUCCGUGCCAGCAGCCGCGGUAAUACGGAGGAUGCGAGCGUUAUCCGGAUUUAUUGGGUUUAAAGGGUGCGUAGGCGGCGAUGCAAGUCAGCGGUAAAAGCCCGGGGCUCAACCCCGGGCGAGCGUUGAAACUGCAGUGCUAGAGAAGGCGAGAGGUACGCGGAAUGCGCAGUGUAGCGGUGAAAUGCUUAGAUAUUGCGCAGAACUCCGAUUGCGAAGGCAGCGUACUGGCGCCUGACUGACGCUGAGGCACGAAAGCGUGGGGAUCGAACAGGAUUAGAUACC
rnacentral:rRNA from 1 species